rnacentral:rRNA from 1 species
AUUGAACGCUGGCGUCAGGCCUAACACAUGCAAGUCGAACGGUAACAGGAAGAAGCUUGCUUCUUUGCUGACGAGUGGCGGACGGGUGAGUAAUGUCUGGGAAACUGCCUGAUGGAGGGGGAUAACUACUGGAAACGGUAGCUAAUACCGCAUAACGUCGCAAGACCAAAGAGGGGGACCUUCGGGCCUCUUGCCAUCGGAUGUGCCCAGAUGGGAUUAGCUAGUAGGUGGGGUAACGGCUCACCUAGGCGACGAUCCCUAGCUGGUCUGAGAGGAUGACCAGCCACACUGGAACUGAGACACGGUCCAGACUCCUACGGGAGGCAGCAGUGGGGAAUAUUGCACAAUGGGCGCAAGCCUGAUGCAGCCAUGCCGCGUGUAUGAAGAAGGCCUUCGGGUUGUAAAGUACUUUCAGCGGGGAGGAAGGGAGUAAAGUUAAUACCUUUGCUCAUUGACGUUACCCGCAGAAGAAGCACCGGCUAACUCCGUG